GACAGAGGUGGCAAGCGUUGUUCGGAUUCAUUGGGUGUAAAGGGCAGGUAGGUGGUCGGGUAAGUCUGAUGUGAAAUCCCAUGGCUCAACCGUGGAACUGCAUUGGAAACUGCCUGACUUGAGUACCGGAGAGGUGAAGGGAAUUCUCGGUGUAAGGGUGAAAUCUGUAGAUAUCGAGAGGAACACCAGUGGCGAAGGCGCUUCACUGGCCGGUAACUGACACUGAUCUGCGAAAGCAAGGGGAGCAAACAGG
rnacentral:rRNA from 1 species